rnacentral:rRNA from 1 species
UACGAAGGGGGCUAGCGUUGCUCGGAAUCACUGGGCGUAAAGGGUGCGUAGGCGGGUUUUUAAGUCAGAGGUGAAAUCCUGGAGCUCAACUCCAGAACUGCCUUUGAUACUGGCGAUCUUGAGUCCGGGAGAGGUGAGUGGAACUCCGAGUGUAGAGGUGAAAUUCGUAGAUAUUCGGAAGAACACCAGUGGCGAAGGCGGCUCACUGGCCCGGUACUGACGCUGAGGUGCGAAGCGUGGGAGCAACAGGG